rnacentral:misc_RNA from 1 species
AAAAAACUAACUUAUUCAUUUUGUUUCUUUUUAUAGAACAAGGAAGUGGCUAUAUAUUCUAGGAUACACAUUAUUUCCUUCCUUUCUAUCCUUGGAAGACAAUUUGUGUAAGUCACAAAGUGCUCUAUCAAGACCUCUGUUGUUUAUCUACAUUUUUCUCUGCAAAAAAUACAAAAAUGACAGAGAUGGCCGUAUCCCCACUUCUGCAAGUAGUUUUUGACAGACUAGCUUCUCCAGUCCUUGGAAAGCUUCGUGAACUCUGCAAUCUUAAGCAUAACUUAAAGAAGCUGCAGCAGUCAUUACCUAUGAUUCAAGCCAUUCUUGAAGAUGCAGAAGAGCGACAAGUGACGGAUAAAGCUGUGAAAGCUUGGCUGUCGAAGCUCAAAGAUGUGGCUUAUGAUGCGGAUGACUUGU